rnacentral:tRNA from 1 species
CGGAAUAUAGCUUAAAUAAAGCACUUCGUUUACACCGAAAUGAUGCCUGCUACACCAGGCUACUCCGAG